GGGAGGGUCAUUGGAAACUGGGGAACUUGAGUGCAGAAGAGGAGAGUGGAAUUCCACGUGUAGCGGUGAAAUGCAUAGAGAUGUGGAGGAACACCAGUGGCGAAGGCGACUCUCUGGUCUGUAACUGACGCUGAGGCGCGAAAGCGUGGGGAGCGAACAGGAUUAGAUACCCUGGUAGUCCACGCCGUAAACGAUGAGUGCUAAGUGUUAGAGGGUUUCCGCCCUUUAGUGCUGCAGCAAACGCAUUAAGCACUCCGCCUGGGGAGUACGGUCGCAAGACUGAAACUCAAAGGAAUUGACGGGGGCCCGCACAAGCGGUGGAGCAUGUGGUUUAAUUCGAAGCAACGCGAAGAACCUUACCAGGUCUUGACAUCCUCUGACAACCCUAGAGAUAGGGCUUCCCCUUCGGGGGCAGAGUGACAGGUGGUGCAUGGUUGUCGUCAGCUCGUGUCGUGAGAUGUUGGGUUAAGUCCCGCAACGAGCGCAACCCUUGAUCUUAGUUGCCAGCAUUCAGUUGGGCACUCUAAGGUGACUGCCGGUGACAAACCGGAGGAAGGUGGGGAUGACGUCAAAUCAUCAUGCCCCUUAUGACCUGGGCUACACACGUGCUACAAUGGGCAGAACAAAGGGCAGCGAAGCCGCGAGGCUAAGCCAAUCCCACAAAUCUGUUCUCAGUUCGGAUCGCAGUCUGCAACUCGACUGCGUGAAGCUGGAAUCGC
rnacentral:rRNA from 1 species